rnacentral:rRNA from 1 species
UAGGGUUCGAUUAUGGCUCAGAACGAACGCUGGCGGCAUGCCUAACACAUGCAAGUCGAACGCUAUUUAUAGAGUGGCGCACGGGUGAGUAACGCGUGGGAACCUGCCUUUUUCUGCGGGAUAACGGUUGGAAACGAUCGCUAAUACCGCAUACGCCCUACGGAGGAAAGGUCCGCCGGAAAAAGAGGGGCCCGCGUCUGAUUAGCUUGUUGGUGGGGUAAUGGCCUACCAAGGCGACGAUCAGUAGCUGGUCUGAGAGGAUGAUCAGCCACACUGAGACUGAGACACGGCCCAGACUCCUACGGGAGGCAGCGGUGGGAAUCUUGGACAAUGAAGAAACCCUGAUCCAGCCAUGCCGCGUGAGGAAGAAGGCCCUGGGGUCGUAAAACUCUUUCGCCUGUGAUGAUAAUGACGGUAGCAGGUGAAAGAAACCCCGGCUAACUCCGUGCCAGCCGCCGCGGUAAUACA